rnacentral:rRNA from 1 species
AGCGAACGCUGGCGGCGUACUUAACACAUGCAAGUCGAACGAGGAUCGCUACAUGAGCAAUCAUGCGGCGGUUCUAGUGGCGUACGGGUGAGUAACACGUGGGCAACCUGCCCUGGAGCCUGGGAUACCCUCUCGAAAGGGAGGCUAAUACCGGAUACGUUCCCCGGGUCGCGAGAUCUGGGGAGGAAAGGUGGCGCAAGCUGCCGCUCUUGGAGGGGCUCGCGGCCAUCAGCUAGUUGGUGAGGUAAUGGCUCACCAAGGCUAUGACGGGUA